UGAUGGUCGUCCUCCGAAAGG
rnacentral:miRNA from 1 species